rnacentral:rRNA from 1 species
GAUGAACGCUGGCGGCGUGCCUAAUACAUGCAAGUCGAGCGAACAGACGAGGAGCUUGCUCCUCUGACGUUAGCGGCGGACGGGUGAGUAACACGUGGAUAACCUACCUAUAAGACUGGGAUAACUUCGGGAAACCGGAGCUAAUACCGGAUAACAUGUUGAACCGCAUGGUUCAACAGUGAAAGACGGUUUUGCUGUCACUUAUAGAUGGAUCCGCGUCGCAUUAGCUAGUUGGUAAGGUAAAGGCUUACCAAGGCAACGAUGCGUAGCCGGCCUGAGAGGGUGAUCGGCCACACUGGAACUGAGACACGGUCCAGACUCCUACGGGAGGCAGCAGUAGGGAAUCUUCCGCAAUGGGCGAAAGCCUGACGGAGCAACGCCGCGUGAGUGAAGAAGGUCUUCGGAUCGUAAAACUCUGUUAUUAGGGAAGAACAAAUGUGUAAGUAACUAUGCACGUCUUGACGGUACCUAAUCAGAAAGCCACGGCUAACUACGUG